rnacentral:rRNA from 1 species
CACGUAGGAGGCAAGCGUUAUCCGGAUUUACUGGGCGUAAAGCGCGUGCAGGCGGUUUAGAAAGUUGGAUGUGAAAGCUCCUGGCUUAACUGGGAGAGGUCGUUCAAUACUUCUAGACUAGAGUAUGGGAGAGGGAGGUGGAAUUCCGGGUGUAGUGGUGAAAUGCGUAGAUAUCCGGAGGAACACCAGUGGCGAAAGCGGCCUCCUGGCCCAUUACUGACGCUCAGACGCGAAAGCUAGGGUAG